AAUCAACGCUGGCGGCGUGCCUAACACAUGCAAGUCGAACGGGAAAGCACUUUUCGGAGUGCGAGUAGAGUGGCGAACGGGUGAGUAACGCGUGGGUGAUCUGCCCUUUGGUGGGGGAUAACCCGGGGAAACCCGGGCUAAUACCGCAUGAGCCUGCAUUUGUGAGCGUGUGCAGGGAAAGUUUUUGGAUGCCGAAGGAGGAGCCCGCGUCCGAUUAGCUAGUUGGUGAGGUAAGAGCUCACCAAGGCGACGAUCGGUAGCCGGUCUGAGAGGACGGACAGUCACACUGGGACUGAGACACGGCCCAGACUCCUACGGGAGGCAGCAGUGGGGAAUUUUGGGCAAUGGGCGAAAGCCUGACCCAGCAACGCCGCGUGGAGGAUGAAGGUUUUCGAAUCGUAAACUCCUGUCUAGAGGGACGAAGUAAGUGACGGUACCUCUGGAGGAAGCCCCGGCUAACUCCGUG
rnacentral:rRNA from 1 species